rnacentral:rRNA from 1 species
UACAGAGGGUGCGAGCGUUAAUCGGAAUUACUAGGCGUAAAGCGUGCGUAGACGGUUAUUUAAGUCGGGUGUGAAAGCCCCGGGCUCAACCUGGGAAUUGCAUUCGAGACUGAAUAGCUAGGGUACGGUAGAGGGAAGCGGAAUUUCCGGUGUAGCGGUGAAAUGCGUAGAUAUCGGAAGGAACAUCAGUGGCGAAAGCGGCUUCCUGGACCAGUACCGACGUUCAGGCACGAAAGCGUGGGGAGCAAACAGG